rnacentral:rRNA from 1 species
UACGUAGGGUGCGAGCGUUGUCCGGAAUUAUUGGGCGUAAAGAGCUCGUAGGCGGUUUGUUGCGUCGGCCGUGAAAACCUGCAGCUUAACUGUGGGCGUGCGGGCGAUACGGGCAGACUGGAGUACUGCAGGGGAGACUGGAAUUCCUGGUGUAGCGGUGGAAUGCGCAGAUAUCAGGAGGAACACCGAUGGCGAAGGCAGCUCGCUGGGACGGUACUGACGCUGAGGCGCGAAAGCGUGGGGAGCGAACAGG